GCAAAUGGUCUAACUAUUUUAAUAUGAACUCAAAACGUUUACUAUAUGCACAGGCUGGUAGAACAUUUACAUCUAAUAUCAGGUCCCUCAGAUACUUCAGCCAAUAUAAUUAUUUUGAAUAACUUUUAUUCCACAAAAACUUAAAUCCACCUGUAUAUUUGGUUCGACCUACAAUUCCAGUAGGUGGAAGGCUGAGGCAGGAGGGUUGCUGGAAGAAUUCAAGCCUGUUGUGGACUAUAUACUAAGCUCAAGGCCAGCCUAGGCAAUAAAGUGAAGCCUUGGCCCACCCCCAAAAGAUGAAAGCUAAAAGCCCAGAAAAGACAGAAACACUGGUAUAAUUUCUAGCCUUUCAUGUAGGCUGAUUUAUUCAUGUUUCCUAAAUUAUUUUAAUAUUUUUAUUCACAAUCAUUGUUUCAGUACACUUACAACUUCAGCAGCAUCUGAGGUCUUAGCAUAUCAGAGUUAGAAUGGCAGAAAGAUCUAGAAGGAAAGAGGAAAGAGAAAAGGAUUGGUCCACUGACUCUGUGGUCUGUGGUGUGGGCGAGUGUCUGAGAAAGGAAGGAGAGUGGGUGCUGCAGCUGAUGCCCAGGAGCUCACUGUAAUCCACACCUGCUUUUGUCAUAGGUGCUCCCUGCUGCUCCUCUUCCUCUGCAGUCUGAUCUUCAUCACCAGCUGUCGGGUGACAUUUGAACAUUGACUGUGACUUCUUCAGCAAAGGAAGCAAACACAUUUCUGACGGCAUCUCUGAAAUCUGACCUCUGAUCUUGACUUCGGACCAAACUGGUGGGAUCCCAGGAGACUGAUGGCUGUCAGAGCCUCAUGCAUGAGGGCAUCAGGGUGCACUAGGCUGUUGCCAUUGAGGACUUCCUCUUGCUCUAAUCCUUUUCCUUUCUCACACUUGCCUUAUCAUUGUGGGGAUAAAACUGGGCAUGGCUCUAAAUUACACCUCACACUGCAAAACAGGGCUUGCCCUAAGUGACUCCAUUUUACAAGCUGCGGGUGGCUGUCUCCUGAGUGCAACGCAGACAACGGAGGACAUGACACCUCACUUUAUACACAGACACAUUUCAGCCCAGGGCCAUCGAUGACUCAGAGAGUGAAAAUUACCAUAAUCUUAAAAGUAAGAAUAAGUCGCCUGUACACUUAUCAAAAUGAGUUGGAAGCAGUGAGAAUCACAUGUACAUAUCAAAUUAUAUCAGAGAACCAGCUCAAGGAUUUAUCUCACCCUCACCUAGACCCUAGAAGAAGCCACCUAACUCGCAAUGGUUAUGUCAACACAAACUUGUCCCCUGGCUGUCUGUGUGUCAGGGAACCUGCAGGUCCAGAACUCCUGGCCAUCUUAAGCCUCAGCUCCACCCACCCUGCUAAUGUCUCCUCCUUGAAUCACUGUCUGACAGCUCAUCUGCUGCUCAUGCUAAUGUGGGUCUGCAUCUCACCUGCUGGAUCCUCAGUCCUGCACCUCACUUGUGCAGUUCACUCAGGGCUGAGGCCUGGUGCAGCCCUGAAGCUCUCCAUGAGCUUCCUUCGCAGCUCCUCUAACCUCCUGCAUUCAAUCUGUCUGUGUGUCUGUCAUCCCUCUGUCUCUGGCUCCAGUCUGGUCUCUUUAAACUCCAAUGGCAACUCGUUCACUCUUCUGCAGCCAUUCUGUGAUCUAAGGCCAUAAGAUAACUCUGUGGUGUUCAAUGUGUGAUCUGAGAGUUUGUAUUAGUAAUUACGACUGGAGACAGAGAGCCCAGGAUGGCCAGGAGCCAGUUGUCAAAGGUAAUCACGGCUACUUGUUAAUUACAGGCUGUGAAUUGGAUGGAGGUUGUAAGUUAAGGCACAUAUAUUUUCCUGGCAUAGCACACUGAUUUGGGAUUUCAUACUUCAUAGUAUAAUAAUCCAGUGAGUAAAUAGUCCAUUAGCAAAGAAAUUAGAAAAACAUUGUUUUUCAAGUGAAUGCAGUACCUGAUUAUAGAAAAUUCAGCUUCCCUACCAAACCCUGGUCAACAGAGACUAAACUUGCUCCAUUGACCCAAUGCCUGCCUCACAGCCCAGUAAAACUUCACCCUCUUCAGUGUGACAUCUGAAUGGUGUGUUAGGAAGGGGAGAGGCUUGCAUCUGUCUCCCAAGAGGAGUGCGUUAGCAAAAUAAAUAACGAAGCAGAAAUAGAAGUGAGCAAACCUCAGCUCACACUUCUAUGAUUACUAAUGUAUACGACGGAUAUAGAAGUAUACCAUACUACGAAUUUAUACUGUUCGAAAGAAAACUAAGAGAAGUAUUAGUGUCGGUGAGAAAGAUGAGUAACAGACUACGUAAUAGACAAAUCCUCAGACGGUGCUGCCUCUGAUGCAGCAUCAUCGAUCUACAGAGCCCGAAUAAACAUGUGACAGUAACAGUCCUAGACUAAUUGUCACUAUCUUGACAGUAGCAUACGGGAGCAUAGCAAAGGCAUAGACACGUUACAUUCAGCAACUGAAAAUUAUACAUACGUUUCAGUGAGGAAUGAGGGACAAAGAGACAACUCAGUCAUACAGUGCUCAUGCUUUUUGAGAAUCUGAGUUCCCUCCCCAGAAUACGUGAACACUGUCGUGAUACAUGCUUGCAAUCUCAGCAUAGAGGACAGAGGGAAAGAGAGAGAGAAAGUGGGACAGAGGGGGUAGGGGGUCGAUUAUUGCAUCUCUGGGGCUUCGUCAUCAGAAGGAAUAGUUAAAUGGGUGAGUUUGGUGAGUUCCAGUACACACUGCCUCAAGACACCGUGGGCAUGGCGUCCUGAGUAGUGACAGCAAAAGGUAAUGUGUAGUACCCACAUGUACUAGUAUAUGAACAAACAUACACACAGGAAAAGAUACACACUAUGGACCAAAACACAGCUGAUGACUUCCUGAGAUGCAUUACUUGGGAGAUGGAAUGGGGCUUUUUAAAACUAGUCACGAGAUGUUACCUGUUCUUGGUUUCUGGGCCAUUUCAUAUUUGUAUUAUAAUAGAUAAAAGGGGCCCUGCUUGUGUCUUCUUAGAUGACAAGGGUCGUGACACCAUUGUUCAACCACUGUCCCAAGGUGCCGGAGGUGGUAGGAUUCACCCUCUAAUCAUAGGAGGUAUCAUGAGAAACUUAGACUCCAAGCACUAGACCCUGAUUAUUAAAAGAGGAUAUUUUGAUUUUAUUUUUGACAGAGGAACUCUUUGAAUCUGCAUUGCUGCCCUGAAAGAUGAGCAGAUUAUAUUGUGGACAAAUGAUGCAGACCACUUUCUCUUGGAAGGGCUUUAUUGCUGAGGAUAGGACAUUAAGAGCCCUGUGUGGGAAUGCUGAGCUCUUAUCGGCUCCUAAGACUAUACAACUUAUGACAUCAACCAACAAUUUGGAGAGGGAAAGGACCUUUGUGGCCUGAGUUGAAGGUCAGACUGUAACAUCACUCAGAGGUCAAGUGGUCCUCGGUGCUUACUGUAGGUGUUGGUGUAGAUGGCAGUGAUGGACAGCCCUGCCACAGCACUAACUCCAUCACAGUGACUUCUAAUCUAGACCAUAGACAUCAUACUGGAGGGUUAAGUGAGACCAGCCAAAGUCACCAAAGAGUUAAAACCAGAAAUAGGCUGUGAGCAGGAAUAAGUAAUUGUAGCCCACAGUGUUUAAAGGGGGAACUACCCUUUUGUGGUUUCAGCAUAGGCAGGAGGUAUGACCAUUGUGACUGAGGAGGAGAAAUCCUAGAAAUGCAGAAAUAAGGGGUUCAUAACUUGACAUAAAGACCUCAGAUUAUUGUUGGAAAAUAGAGUCAGGGGGUGUUUUAUGUAUGUUGUACCAAACUUUCACUGAAAUAAUGAACACGAGUCUCCACGAUGCUCCCAGGAACUAGCUGGUUGAGCCUUUGCAGGUUGAGUCCUAUUAACUCUUCAGAUGAACCCUCAGUGACAGGCCUUGUAACAACUACAGUUGGAGAGACGAGCAGGACCUGUUAGGACUGUUUCAGACAUCACCCAUGGCUUCCUUUGUGACCUGUGGAACAAAUUUAAGAUAAACUUAAUGCACUGGUUUAAUGACUGGAGAUUAUCCUAAAAUCGUGGAGUCAGAGUUUGAGCUGUGCUUAUCCUAUUGUUCCGUGGCAGUCUUGAGUAGCUGUCCAGUCAUAUACAAAAACACAAGAGUCUCUUCCCUUAGGGAGAGCUGAGUGUGGAGAAAAAUCUUCUGUACAGACAUCAUGGGUGUUGACAGACAUAGAGAUGGGAAUAAUUUACAAUUAAAUGACGACUAGUUGCUGCAAAAGGGUUGAUACAGAGUUUGGAAUAAUUCAAGAUCAUAGAUGAGAAUUAAUUAGAACGUGAGGGAGUUGGAACUUCAGUUCUCCCAGUUGAACCAGGUACUCUUGAGAAUCCUGGUUGUAGCUGGUAGAUUUAUAAUUUUAUAUUAUUCCUGUCUGUACUCUGCUGGGAUUUUAAGACCAUGUAGAUGCCAACAGCUUUCUUUUGUUGCUGGCAGUUUCUCUUUGAAGGUUAUUUUCAGGGGUGUUGGAGACAUUUAGGGGCCCUUUCUCUUUAGUUUCUUAUAUUCAUCAUUUUCUGGACAAGGAUAUUUCUAAGUGAAUCUGGGACUCUGGGGUCUCCAUAUCCUCUCUGAAGCUGUCAUAUUGUUUUAGAGCUACCCCACUGUCCUCGAUGCUAGGACAUGGCCAACCUGGAGGUGAAGGUGAAAAAUCUUUGCCCUCAGCCCAGCCCUUUCAUUCUCAUUGCUUUAGCCCUCUAGUGGUAGCCAUUGCAAUCUCAGAAAGACAGUUACACCAGACUUGCAGAACAAAUAGUGGUUUUAAUCUGUUUCAUAGCUUCAUGUGUGACCAGUUCACAGCCAAGGAUACAUAUGAAUAUCACCAAAUUAAAUUCAGGGGAGGGAGUUUUGCAAAUAUAUUUUAGGAACUUGAUUGUGUGGUCCUCAAGCAUGAAUUAGAAGAUCACUUUGUAUCAUAACAUCAAAAGGUUAGAUACUUCAGAUGAAUACAUAUCGUAAAAACACAUAUUAAAUCAAUCUUAACUCUGAGAAGACUCCAUUGUUAGGAAGUUAAAGUUGUGACCCACUCAGUUAUCUUAGUAAACCAAACAUGUAAUGAAAAAGCUGUUUUAGAAACCCAUACCACUUUACAUUGAGUGUCCUAAGCCUUGUGACAUACAAAAACGUCUGCAUUUUCAACAUCUCUUACCCAUCGUGUAGAGUGAAAAGAACUUUUUGUAUGAAUCCCUCUUCCCAUGAGCUUAUUCUCGCCAUCAGAAAUGCAUUUCUUUGCUUGCAUCUGUUUAUGGGCUGCUUCCUUCCUUUGUUAAAUCCAGAUGUACUUCAGGUGUCUUGUUUUCCUGGAAGGUAUAAAACCAUGAAACAGCAAACAUCAUGUUUUGUCUUUUACAAAAUGGAAUUAGAUCCACAUUAUUAUCAAGUGUUACACUGUUACUUGUUAAUGUGCUUUUUACUAUCUGGCUUUAAUAACCAUGUGACAUUCUUUGUUAAAUGCUGAUAUCUCCUUUUGCUUAACAAAUUUAAAAUAAUUCAGGAUGUUAGAUUUGCUUGUAUUUCAUGAAUUAAAGGAAAUUUGAACUAA
rnacentral:sRNA from 1 species